CGGAGGUUCAGUCCUCCCAGGCCCACCACUUCCUUUCGAUACGAAGGUUAUCAGGGGCCGUAGCUCAGCUGGGAGAGCGCCUGCUUUGCAAGCAGGAUGUCGUCGGUUCGAUCCCGUCCGGCUCCACCAACCAUCUUCUGCGAAGAUGGGGCGUGUCGAGUAAGAUGGUAAGAAAAAAGUCAUUCGAUAAAAGAGUUUGCGUCGAGCCUCUUGGCUCUGCGCCUGUUCUGUUUGACAUCGUAAAGAGAAGAUUUGUUCGAACUUCAUGAGCCGCAAGGACCGUGAUUUGUCGCUGGAGACGCUCAAUCUCCAGCAUAUGAUGGGUUUGCCUAACCGCGCCCUCGAACGGAUCUCGAGAAGCUGGUCUUUUUGUGCCAAUUCCAUUCGAGCUAAGCCCCGCACAAGGUUUGGCUCAAGGCGACGAUCUCUGCGAGAUCGCGCUUGUGCGCCGAUCUCUGCGAGAUCGCGCUUAGCCAAUCCUGCAAGGGCGAGGCUGAAGCGACGAUCCCUGCGGGAUCGCGCGAUGAUGGGUAUUGGCAAUGAGAACGAUCAAGUGUCUUAAGGGCAAUUGGUGGAUGCCUUGGCAUGCACAGGCGAUGAAGGACGUGAUACGCUGCGAUAAGCUACGGG
rnacentral:misc_RNA from 1 species